rnacentral:rRNA from 1 species
UCUAGCCUGCUCACUGAUAGAUAAUAUUAAAUAGCCGCGGUAUACUGACCGUGCAAAGGUAGCAUAAUCAUUAGCUUCUUAAUUGGAAACUUGCAUGAAUGGUUGGACAAAGAAGAAACUGUCUCUAUUAUUAACAUUGAAUUUAACUUUUAAGUGAAAAGGCUUAAAUUUUUCGAGGGGACGAUAAGACCCUAUAAAGCUUUAUAAGUUUAGAAAUUUUAUAUAUUUUUAUAUAGUUAUAAUUUUUUGACUAUUUAUUUGGUUGGGGCGACAAUAGUAUAACAAUAGUAACUGCUUUCAUCUAUUACAACUAUAUUUGAAUAUUAGUUUUAAUUGAUCCUUCAUAAAGAUUUAAAGAUCAAGUUACUUUAGGGAUAACAGCGUUAUUUUUUCUGAGAGUUCUUAUCAAAGGAAAAGUUUGCGACCUCGAUGUUGAAUUAAAAUUUCUCUAUAGUGCAGCAGCUAUAAGAAGAAGGUCUGUUCGACCUUUAAUAUUUUACAUGAUUUGAGUUCAGACCGGCGAGAGCCAGGUCGGUUUCUAUCUCUUGAAGAGAAAAAAUUUAUCUUAGUACGAAAGGAUUAGAUAAGUAAAAAUAUUUUAAUAGUGAAAU